rnacentral:rRNA from 1 species
AGCGUAGGUGGCCUAACAUGUCAACUGUGAAAACCCGGAGCUCAACUCCGGACUUGCAGUUGAAACUGGUAGGCUUGAGGACGGUAGAGGAAGACGGAACUGCCAGUGUAGGGGUAAAAAUCCUUAGAUAUUGGCAGGAACGCCGGUGACGAAGGUGGUUUUCUGGGCCGGUUCUGACACUGAUGCUCGAAAGCCAGGGGAGCGAACGG